CGAGUUGCAAACUUGAAACGCGUAAAAAUGAAAAAGUCGACUUUUUAUUAAAUCAAAGAUUUGUAUUAUAAAUAGCAUUCAACUAUAUACCGUGCUCUAACUAUUGACUAUGACUACCUAAAUUAAUGUUUUAAUUCGUUACGGCGCUGGCUGGCCUCAUAAAAUUACGUACGCUUACCGUUCCUUCAGUCUGAAAUGUAAGUUUUUAUCGGAACCAUGGCUGUCUCUCGCUGCUUUUGCAGCAUGGUUGCUCUCAUGAUUAUUACCGGUUCGAACGCAGAUCAUGACGAUCAUGAUAGGACCAUUUUCGACGAGGACAUUAACAAUUACGAUGACAUCCUUGACGCCGUUCAUAAAGGCAAAUAUUACAGAAACAAUGAUGAUAUUUACAAUGACGACUAUGGCAUUUUCAGAGCCAGAGAUGACAGUAACGAUGGUGAUGGCAUGAUCAAAAUAUACGUAGGCCAAGAUGUGUAUUAUAUGCCUGAAAGCGGCCUUUUUAUCGACAAUUAUAUUAACGAUGAUGAUUUAGAUGACAAAAAUGGCAUUAGCAAUAGCAAUGUUGGCGUUUACAAUAUGUAUCGUAGUCGAGGUCGUGGUCGCAAAACUGGCAAACCAAGAAAAAUUGAUAAAGAAAAAUUACGUGCCAUCAUUACUCUGCUGCACCACUACAACCCCUUAAUGAAGUUGUUCUCAAUGAAGAAUAACGGGAAGAAACGGGUUGCCUGGAGAAAAUGGCUUAACUGGUAUGACUCGUCGAAUAGUGGUAUUAAUGGUAUUGGAUAAUAAAUGGGAAGUCGGAAUUUUGACGUGUUGUAUUCAA